AACUUUAAUUUGUAUCACAAAAAUCCCUUAAAUUCAAAUGAUUGCAAAGAGAUUGUUGUUGAUAAAUUCAAAUUGUUCGAUUUUGUACAACUUAUCCUUUUGUUUGGAUAAGAAUUGUUGAUUUUGUGUUUUGGGAUUUGAAUAAGAAUUCGUGUAUUUUUUGAAUUUUUAAGGGGUUGUUUAUGGGUUUUGGCUUGCUGGUCAAAUUGAGUAGAGAAUAGGAGAAAAA
rnacentral:misc_RNA from 1 species